CAUUCCCCAACCCCGCGACGCCGCACCGGGUGGGUGACCGCCAGCAGAUUCGACACAGAACCCGCAAUCCUUCGGAGCCUGGAGAGGGCUCGCUCCACCUCCGGCGCCUGGGAGGGCUGCGGGAUCUCAGGUAACACCCCGCCAACAGACUUCCACAAAGAUGCGUCAGGCCACCCCCCAGUAGAGUGGACAGUCCAAGACGCAGACGCAUCCGAGACCUGCAGACAGAGACGCCCGAGGACCUUCAAAGCAUAGGCUUUGGGCACCGCACUGGGGCUCACCCACGGGAAUACACAGUUCUGUUUGUGUUCUUGCGCUCCCAGUGCCUUAAAGGUUCACAAAACAUCGACUCUAGGACGCAGACUCAAUGUUGCUCAGGCUCUCCUGUUCCUCACAUGAGGAAACAAAAGACUUGGUUAAUGAUUUGCCCGUCUUACCACGCCCUUGCCUUGUCGACCUCAAGAAAAUAGCUGCGGAGAGGUGAGGGGCUAUUUGGAGAAGGUCAGUUCUGAGCAACCUUUGCAGAGCGAGCAGGGUUUGACCCAGCAGAGAUGUGGAAAAGCUAGAAGCAGAGAGAGGAGGAAAGACUAGGAAACAAGGUGUCCAGAGUGAGGGGCUCAGCUGUCCAGAAGGAAGCCAGCAAGGACUCCGUUACAGUUGGGACAACCUGGGGCGGGGCCCCACAGAGCAAGAAGAGAACGGUGGAAGUAAAACUUCUCUGCCGAGUAAGGUAGAAGGAAGAGGAUGCGAUUUCCAUUUAUACUGCUGUAGGAGAAUGUUCUUCGUUGACAUGGAUCCCCACUGUGCUGUCUCUGAGGAGUGUCUAUCAUGUGAGCUGCUUCGUGGGCUUCUGUCCAAGAGUCACCCUCCGGGGAGCUGGAGAAUCACAGGGGAAAGGCAGAAGGGCAGGUACUGGCAUUGAAACAACACUGGCUGAUCUGCAUCUCUGUGAAGGGUGACACAUUGGUUCUCCCCAGUACUUACUGAGAAGAGCUUUCCUGACAAAGCCGAAGAUGGGUGCUGGAGGACACAAAAGAUGUGGCUGUGACUGCCUGCUGGCCUCAGGGUAUGAGAAAAGCGGCCGAGUAAAUACAUACAUACAUUUACAUACAAAGUAAAGGAAUGGAAGUAAGUACAAAGUGCCUUGGGAACACAAAUAAGGAAGUAACUUGCUUUGACUGGCAAAUCUGGCUUCACCAAAGAGGUUAAGUUUUGAAGGAUGAAAGGAGGUUUGCAGAGAAGGAGUAAAACAUCCAGGCAGAGGGAAUGUGACAGAAUGCACAGUAGCCCAGGUGAUGGCAUCUAGGGGAGCGCAGGUGGGUGGAGGAGGGCUGGUGGAGAGGCAGCUGCCACUGUCCACGGGGACCAGAUUGUGAAAAGCCUUGUUUGCCAUUUUUAUAAGGCAUUUGGAUUUCAUUCUAGUCGCAACAUGGAGUCUACGCAGGCUGCUAAGCACAGGAAUGUCAAACGUCUGUGUUGUAUUAUAAUUUUGGCAUCGAUGUGGCAGAUGGAUGAGGACACCCGGUUUAAGAGACCACAGAUUGUAAGGACCUGAACUAGACAAAUGGUGGGGGUCGUGGGUUGGGAGGGAGAGAAUGGGCUUAAGAGGUAUUAAGAAAGCAGAGUUAGUGGGACUUGGGAACCUCAUAUGUCAGGAGGGAGUGAAACAGAAGAAUUGGGGGUGCUAGGCUUUUAGCUUAGACAACUGGAUUUGCAGUAAGGAAUUAUAAUUGACAGGUUUAGUCCUGGGUUACGAUGGAAAUGCCCAAGGAAGGGCACCAGGGGCCAUUACACAGAGGAGAGCACACUAUAUACACUCCAUAGACAAAACCACAAGGUUUCUCCCAAAAUCUGUAAAUCACCGAAAGUCCCUUCUGCUUCCCUGGGGCAAACCACUCUCCUUGGUGGUUUUCAGGAAGUCAGCUUGCCAAAAGACAAAAGGGAAGUCUCACUGUUUCACGCACUGUGUGGUGUUUGCAUUUAUAAUCCUUGCCCUGCCUUUAUUCCACCACAGUCUGUGCUUGAUUGGUCUCCCGCAUGUAUGAGUAAAUAUCAGCUGUGAUAAAUGUCUCAAAAUUGUUCUUCGAUAGUUAUUUCUGGACUCUCCAUCGAGAUCAGCGCACCUUAGUUCCCUCAUUGGAGCUUAUAUGUGGCAUUUCUUCUGGACACCUUGAAUUCUGAAUCGUCUUCCCUCGGCCCCUCUGGUGGGACUCUUUCAGUGGCCAUUAAGAUUUGUGACUCGGGGCACCUGAGUGGCUCAGUCAGUUAGCUUUUCAUUUUGGCUCAGGUCAUGAUCUGAGCCAAACGGUUUGUCGGUUUGAGCCCCACAUCAGGUUCUGUGCUGACAGCCUGCUUGGGAUUCUCUCUCCCUCUCUCCCUUUCCCUCUCUCUUUCAAAAAUAAAUAACUUAAAAAAAAAAAAUUUGUUACUCUUGCAUGCUGAAACCGGCUCCUGAACAGUUUUGUCUCAACAGCAGCUGCUUUUUUUUUUUUUUCCAUUGGUGGACAAAAAGGUGGUUGUUAGGCCUUGAUUAUCUGAUCUCUGUUAAGUGGCAAAGACUGGGAGCUUAGUGUCUCUGUCUUUUUUUUUGUUCCUGCUUUUCUUGAAGCUUCUACUAUUUGGGAAGCCGGUAUGUGUGCCUUGAGAUCACAAUACAAUGAUUUAAUCAGGAACUCGCCACCCUCAACUGUAACAUUGAAAAUUGUUAUGUCGGGGCACCUGGGUGGCUCAGUCGGUUAAGCGUCCGACUUCAGCUCAGGUCAUGAUCUCACAGUUCGUGAGUUCAAGCCCCACGUCGGGCUCUGUGCUGACAGCUCAGAGCCUGGA